GCCGAAUGUGUAGCAGCAGCGGUGACUGACAACUGAGCAACGCCUGGGACCCUCUCUUGUCUCACACACACACAAAAGGCCAAGUUGUGUGGGUCACUAGGCUAAUGGUGUUAUGCAGCAGACAGAGACUCUCUACUGAAAGCCAUUGGAUUUCUACAACGUUUCCAGGAGAAAAAGGAUAUACCAGCCAUUACUUUAAAGCAACUACCUCAGCUGAAGAACCAAUGCCUCUGGAUAUGAUCGGCUACUGAGACAGUAGAUUUACCGCCUACUUCGACUUUCUGCCAGUGCCACUAUAUUGAGAUGGGAUGAGCUGGCCAAUGUUUACUUUUUUUCUCCUCUCUCCGGUAUUCUCCACUUGGCACUAACCACCGAGAGAACAGAUACAAUUUGAUUUUUUAUCAGCCUCUGGAACAUCAGACUGACUUAUCAGUGUCCCUGGUGUAAUGAAAUCCGAAACAUGUUCUUUGAUAAAUGUGCUUAUGAUUCUUUUACAUACUGUGCACUGAGGAACCCAUCCCUUAUUGUCAGCAGACCAUCAUGGACUAAACAUUCUCAAUCAUGAAAAGUUCAGAUCAUUGUUAGUUUAUGACUUCACUACAUAUCACCCUGAUUAAAUGUUCGUAAGAAGUAUUAAUUGCACUUGACAGCUCCAGCAGUGAUAAAGUGCUACACUGAGGGUAAUAGAUUGAUUUUAGUAAACUUACAUUCUGUUCAAGACGGGGAGUCAUGUCUCUCAAUGCUGAUGAACAAAUGAAUAAGCUUUCACUUGCAAUAAUAUUGCUGCUGCCUGGAUACAGCAGGGACAUGUGGCAAAUACUUGCAGGUUACUUGGCUUUCAUAUCUCCAGCCUUGCUUUGGUUCAGUUUUGUUUAAAAUAGUUAGGCAUCAUUGUUAUACUGUAGGUUUUUUUUUAGAAAAGGCUAAUAUUUUAUGGGCUUUAAAUUCAUAAACAUAUUCAUGUUUUUCAAAGAUAUAGAUUUAAUGUGUACUGCAUAAUAAAUACAUUGAUAACAUUAUUUCGAUCAAUUUUAGUCACAGGUAGGUAGUCACUUGGGAUUUUUUUUACAUUAUAGAUGCUGUAUAAAUGCAAAUUGUUUUUGAAUAAUAAAAUGGACAAUAAGGUGAACUCUGAUAUAGAUCAGAGCGAGAAAAAUACUGAUCUACUAUUUUCAUUGCAAGAAUGUUAAUUCUGAUUCUUGAAAUUAAUACACGGAUUUUUAAAAAGAAAUUGAAAAGUGAAAUUGAUGCAUUUAAAAUUGAAAUAAACUUAGAACACAAGCCUGUACCCAAGGAUAAACACGGCUUUAAUGUUAUCAAUCAUCAUUUGAGGAGGUUCUCAACAUUUACUGAGAGCUCCCCCCGACACUAACAGGUGGAAUUGGAAAAUCAAAGCCAGAAGCUAUUGUUUUAACUCUUGACACUAUCUGCUGGAGAACCAACGCACUGCACCACAUUUCCAGUUAAGAAAUGAAUUGGCUUAACAGCUGCAAUCAGUUCUGAUCAGUUCCUAGUUCGUUUCUGAUCCACUCCAAAAGUAAUAUGUUCAAGCCUCAUCCAAGACUUGCAAUGAGAAUGACAUCAAGGCAACAUCUGACAAGAGUGUGGCAGCAAGGAGCCCUAGCAAAACUGGAGUCGAUGGG